CUGAGGCGUGACGACGAGGCACUACGGUGCUGAAGCAACAAAUGCCCUGCUUCCAGGAAAAGCCUCUAAGCAUCAGGUAACAUCAAAUCGUACCCCAAACCGACACAGGUGGUCAGGUAGAGAAUACCAAGGCGCUUGAGAGAACUCGGGUGAAGGAACUAGGCAAAAUGGUGCCGUAACUUCGGGAGAAGGCACGCUGACACGUAGGUGAAGUGAUUUACUCAUGGAGCUGAAGUCAGUCGAAGAUACCAGCUGGCUGCAACUGUUUAUUAAAAACACAGCACUGUGCAAACACGAAAGUGGACGUAUACGGUGUGACGCCUGCCCGGUGCCGGAAGGUUAAUUGAUGGGGUCAGCGCAAGCGAAGCUCCUGAUCGAAGCCCCGGUAAACGGCGGCCGUAACUAUAACGGUCCUAAGGUAGCGAAAUUCCUUGUCGGGUAAGUUCCGACCUGCACGAAUGGCGUAAUGAUGGCCAGGCUGUCUCCACCCGAGACUCAGUGAAAUUGAACUCGCUGUGAAGAUGCAGUGUACCCGCGGCAAGACGGAAAGACCCCGUGAACCUUUACUAUAGCUUGACACUGAACAUUGAGCCUUGAUGUGUAGGAUAGGUGGGAGGCUUUGAAGUGUGGACGCCAGUCUGCAUGGAGCCGACCUUGAAAUACCACCCUUUAAUGUUUGAUGUUCUAACGUGGACCCGUAUCCCGGGUUGCGGACAGUGUCUGGUGGGUAGUUUGACUGGGGCGGUCUCCUCCUAAAGAGUAACGGAGGAGCACGAAGGUUGGCUAAUCCUGGUCGGACAUCAGGAGGUUAGUGCAAUGGCAUAAGCCAGCUUGACUGCGAGCGUGACGGCGCGAGCAGGUGCGAAAGCAGGUCAUAGUGAUCCGGUGGUUCUGAAUGGAAGGGCCAUCGCUCAACGGAUAAAAGGUACUCCGGGGAUAACAGGCUGAUACCGCCCAAGAGUUCAUAUCGACGGCGGUGUUUGGCACCUCGAUGUCGGCUCAUCACAUCCUGGGGCUGAAGUAGGUCCCAAGGGUAUGGCUGUUCGCCAUUUAAAGUGGUACGCGAGCUGGGUUUAGAACGUCGUGAGACAGUUCGGUCCCUAUCUGCCGUGGGCGCUGGAGAACUGAGGGGGGCUGCUCCUAGUACGAGAGGACCGGAGUGGACGCAUCACUGGUGUUCGGGUUGUCAUGCCAAUGGCACUGCCCGGUAGCUAAAUGCGGAAGAGAUAAGUGCUGAAAGCAUCUAAGCACGAAACUUGCCCCGAGAUGAGUUCUCCCUGAGACUUAGAGUCUCCUGAAGGAACGUUGAAGACGACGACGUUGAUAGGCCGGGUGUGUAAGCGCAGCGAUGCGUUGAGCUAACCGGUACUAAUGAACCGUGAGGCUUAACC
rnacentral:rRNA from 1 species